rnacentral:misc_RNA from 1 species
GAACGCAUAUUGCACUUUCUGGUAUUCCGGAAAGUAUGCCUGUUUGAGGGUCAGUUAAAUAAAAAUCGGUGUUGUUGCUGCUGUGGUGACGCGUCGGAAUUGAGUUGUCUUACCUUCGGUUAAGUGACUUAAAAUUUUGCAUGAUUUUUGAACGUAUUUAAAUUGCUUACGUACGUUUGAGAUAUCGAAUAUUUUAUUAGGUUCGGUCAUCCUCAUGACUCGCGCCUAUAAUUUUUCAUUAAAUGACCUCAAAUCAGGUAAGAAUACCCGCUGAACUUAAGC